rnacentral:rRNA from 1 species
CGUGUAGGCGGUAUCAUAAGUCAGAUGUGAAAGCCCUAGGCUUAACCUAGGAACUGCAUUUGAUACUGUGAAACUAGAGAUCGAGAGAGGAAAGUGGAAUUACGAGUGUAGAGGUGAAAUUCGUAGAUAUUCGUAAGAACACCAGUGGCGAAGGCGACUUUCUGGCUCGAUACUGACGCUAAGGCGCGAAAGCGUGGGAGCAAACA